UAUAAAUCGGUAAGAAGGAAAUAGUACUUAGAAACUUAAUAUUAAAGCGAGGAACAAGUGGUGAAAGUGUUCUAUAUUAUAGCUAAGGAAUUCAACCUUUAAGAGGCGUUAAUCACGCACGUAAUACUUGCGUUAAAAGUUAGAGUGCUAGGGAUACCCUAGAACAUAGGUGGUACCGCGGAAAUUACUUUCGUCCUUAGA
rnacentral:ncRNA from 1 species